CGGAAUCCUUUAGAGAUAGAGGAGUGCUCGAAAGAGAGCCGUAACACAGGUGCUGCAUGGCUGUCGUCAGCUCGUGUCGUGAGAUGUUGGUUAAGUCCCGCAACGAGCGCAACCCUUGUCAUUAGUUGCUACAUUCAGUUGGGCACUCUAAUGAGACUGGCCGGUGAACCAAACCGGAAGGAAGGGUGGGGAUGACGUCAAGUCCUCAUCGGCCCUUAUAGGUGGGGCUACACACGUCAUACAAUGGAUGGUACGAAAGGGUCGCCAACCCGCGAGGGGGAGCCAAUCCCAUAAAGCCAUUCGUAGUCCGGAUCGCAGUCUGCAACUCGACUGCGUGAAGUCGGAAUCGCUAGUAAUCGUGGAUCAGAAUGUCACGGUGAAUACGUUCCCGGGUCUU
rnacentral:rRNA from 1 species